AUAAUCCUGUGGUGUGCGUGUGCCUUCCUUAUAAACCCACAGAGUAACUUCGGGAGUAUGCGUUGGUUGUGCUGAUGCCACCUUCAAUGUGCUUGGUAAGCAGAAGCCGCCACAAUACACCCACCUGCCGAGAGGCGGGUGUUAUAAUGAGGGUGUACGGCACUCUGGGAUUACU
rnacentral:other from 2 species